GAUGAACGCUGGCGGCGUGCCUAAUACAUGCAAGUCGAGCGAACAGACGAGGAGCUUGCUCCUCUGACGUUAGCGGCGGACGGGUGAGUAACACGUGGAUAACCUACCUAUAAGACUGGGAUAACUUCGGGAAACCGGAGCUAAUACCGGAUAAUAUAUUGAACCGCAUGGUUCAAUAGUGAAAGACGGUUUUGCUGUCACUUAUAGAUGGAUCCGCGCCGCAUUAGCUAGUUGGUAAGGUAACGGCUUACCAAGGCAACGAUGCGUAGCCGACCUGAGAGGGUGAUCGGCCCACAUGGAACUGAGAACCGGUCCAGACUCCUACGGGAGGCAGCAGUAGGGAAUCUUCCGCAAUGGGCGAAAGCCUGACGGAGCAACGCCGCGUGAGUGAUGAAGGUCUUCGGAUCGUAAAACUCUGUUAUUAGGGAAGAACAAAUGUGUAAGUAACUAUGCACGUCUUGACGGUACCUAAUCAGAAAGCCACGGCUAACUACGUG
rnacentral:rRNA from 1 species